rnacentral:rRNA from 1 species
CCUACGGGGGGCUGCAGUGGGGAAUAUUGGACAAUGGGGGCAACCCUGAUCCAGCCAUGCCGCGUGUGUGAAGAAGGCCCUCGGGUUGUAAAGCACUUUCAGUGAGGAAGAACGCCUGGUGGUUAAUACCCAUCAGGAAAGACAUCACUCACAGAAGAAGCACCGGCUAACUCCGUGCCAGCAGCCGCGGUAAUACGGAGGGUGCGAGCGUUAAUCGGAAUUACUGGGCGUAAAGCGCGCGUAGGUGGCUUGAUAAGCCGGUUGUGAAAGCCCCGGGCUCAACCUGGGAACGGCAUCCGGAACUGUCAAGCUAGGGUGCAGGAGAGGAAGGUAGAAUUCCCGGGGUAGCGGUGAAAGGCGUAGAGAUCGGGAGGAAUACCAGUGGCGAAGGCGGCCUCCUGGACUGACACUGACACUGAGGUGCGAAAGCGUGGGUAGCAAACAGGAUUAGAUACCCUGGUAGUC